AUUUCAUUUUUCUUUGACGGCAUUUCAUCUACUAUCUCUCACUCUUUUUCGGAGGCCAUUCUCUCUCUCGCGUCUUGCGAUGCCAAAGAACCAAGCAAGCUUCUUGUUCUCAAAGUUUUAACGGCGGUAUGUGGUUUCACGAUGAUGUUCCCCAUCACGCCAUUGUGUUUCGUGAAACCUAUGGAACCUCUCUUUCUCUCUCUGUAUGAAGCUUAUGGUGGUCUCCUCUCCGGUGAUGCACAGCGUGGUCUAUUCUUGGUGGUUCAGCUAGUGCGGUGAAGCAGUGUCGGCUGGGUCUCCUCCCUUCUUCCACUUUGCUUCAGAGACUAAUCGUCGGUACUUCUCAGCUCAAUCGUACUACACUAUUUGGUGUUGGAACAACGUCGCGUUCAAGUCGGCGAGAGAAGCUAUGAGGCAGCCAAAGGAUUGAGAAGCAGAUCUGAUGAAUUUCACAGAAUCGAAGACCCUUAUUUAUAGGUCUCGAUUCCUGACCCUUGAGGAAAUAAAGGAUGCAUUGAAUGAAACGAAGUGGGAGAAGUGGGUCGAUUGUGUUAAAGGCAACAUUGACUAAAUCCCUGCGUCUUCAGAGUGAGGAGAUAGAAGAACAUGGAUCGACACCAUGGCAAUGUCGGCAGAAAGAGAUGAAGUUGAUGUGAGUCGGUCUAUUCAUUUAACCAAUUGGGCUUUCGUUUGAUCUAAUCUAUAGCCCAAUUCUAAAUAGACUGUUAUUGGUUAUAUUGGCCCAACUCUAAAGAGACUAUCAUUGGUGUGUAAGGCCAACUGAAUAUCUCACUUACAAACAAUAUUUUGGUUUUUAAUUUCAUCGAACUAAAAAGCCCAUACAUUACGUAGCCCAGCACAAAUUAAUAGAAACGCAGUCUUUUGUAGAAAGGACACGUGUUGUGCUCAGAAUCAUUGACUUAAUGACGUGGAGGCAUAGGAGGGAGGCAAACAUUUUUUUAUAUAUAUAGAUUGAAUAAGACCUCUGAUAUUUCAGGACUGUCAUGGUACUAGCAGUUUAGAAAAUUUGUCGUAUGUAAGGAAAAUACUACGUCGUAGUCUCGUGUAUAUAUCUUUAUAUAUAAAGAAGGCUUUGCUUCCCUCCCAGCCUAUCCACGUCAGCGUCCAGCGCACAAAUUCGAUUCACGAGCGUCUGACACGUGUCACGCUUUAAUGAAACACAUACUUUGUAAUUCGUUUUUCUCCGGGCAUCCGUUUGGGCUUUGUAAUACGUUUUGAAUUUAAAACCCAUAGACCAACGAAUUUGGUAGGAACCCUAAUCCGGGUUGGAGCGCAUCUUUGUGUUCUUCGCUUCCGGGUUGAAAGGGACGAUUCAGAUUUCUGUAACGCUAUGUGUUGUGAUUUUCCGUCUUAAAUCCUCUUAAUUCGCAAGCCCACUACGAGACCUUUCGAUUGCGUUGUUCGUCGGCGAAAUCGUUGCUCAUCCGUUGUAGAGGCCAGACUGCUUCGAUUCUGGGAGGCUAGGAAUGUUAAGUGUGGUGGGGAGAUUAAGUGGAUGGAUUUGCUCAUGGUGGAUGUUAAGGUGAGUGAUUUUUCCUGUUCUCUUCUUUGUAUCAAUCGUUCUGGGUUAAUACUAACAGUGCCGUUAUUAUUCCUCUGUGAGCACUAGGCUGUCUAUGUGGUUGAUAUUGUUCGGUGAACCUGACCGUGUCCUACUUUUAAAAAUUUCCUUAGUUUUUUUUAUUUUGUUGCUAGAAAAAUAAAAUCUUGCUGGUCCCAUCUAUUACUCUGUGCGGACUGUAACGUGAUUGUUAAUAUAUAAAUAGAUUUCGGUUUAGUAUUGAUCCGGUUGUUUGGUAAAGAUUUUGGUUUCCUGUUAUGUAGAGUCGGUACUGAUAAUCUGUUAAAAUUUACACCGUUGAUUCACACUGAUAGAUUCCUAACUAUGUUUCAGGCAACCAUGAUGCAAGUGACGAUCAGUUCAAGCCGUCUCCCACAAUACCGGGAGAGACUCAUUGUCAGAACAAUGUUUUCCGUGUCCGGUUUUGAUGUCUCUAGAUGUGCACAGAGCUUCCGGCUCACGGAGUCUUCUCUGUUGAUCAGGUUCAACGAGAACACCACUUUUGAGGAGAUAACUGAUCAUGUAUCCCCCUUGCCCGAGGAAGCAUUUCGGUUUCGUAACCAGUCUGAGAUGAUUGGUUUAGCCAAAACAAACACUCAAUUUCCAGGUACAUUGCUCCCAGUUGACACGUACCUGUUAUAUUGUUGGACUUCUGUGUGUAAAGAGUAUGGUCUGUUUAUAUUUGUAAGAAAGUGAUAUAUAUCUCAUACUUUAUGUGGACGUCAUAGGUGAAAUACUUGGUGUGAAAAUAGACUCAAGACAUACAGCCAUUGAGUUAUUGACGUUUCUUACACUUACUGAAAACAUGGAUUACAAAUUUUACUCUGUUUAUAGACGCUUUCUUCUGUUUUGCAAUUUACAUUUAAAACAUGGUUUACAAAUUUUACUCUGUUUAUAGACGCUUUCCUCUGUUUUGCAAUUUACAUUUCGUAGACCAACGACUCUGUCGGCUAAUAAAGUAAACCAACUCCCGGUUUGAUGAAACCAUCAUAAAGACACAAACGCAAAGUCUACUAAACGUUUACAUACACAUAGCCCAAAUCACAUAUUCUAUGUGCUUCAAAUACUUUAAUAUAUCGGUGGAAUUAACCAUACUACCUUAUUGAUACAACAAUAAAAAUAUAUAUGUUUUAAAUGAAAUUUUAUUCAACAAUAAAAUAGUUUUAGUUAAAAUGAAUAAGUUGUUUUUUAAUAUCACAUAAAUUAUUAGUUUAAAAGAAAAUAUGGAAAACAACAUAAUACAUGAAAAAAAAAAAUUAACUAA